CCCGCUCAGAAACUCAAAGGAAUUGACGGGGGCCCGCGACAAGCGGUGGAGCAUGUGGUUUAAUUCGAUGAUACGCGAGGAACCUUACCUGGGCUCAAAUGUAUGUUGACGUAUUCUGAAAGGGAUACUUCUUCGGACAAUAUACAAGGUGCUGCAUGGUUGUCGUCAGCUCGUGCCGUGAGGUGUCGGGUUAAGUCCCAUAACGAGCGCAACCCCUGCUAUCUGUUGCCAGCAAGUGAUGUUGGGGACUCAGAUGGAACUGCCGGUGACAAACCGGAGGAAGGUGGGGACGACGUCAAGGUCAUCAUGGCCCAUAUGUCCUGGGCUACACACGUGCUACAAUGGCCGGUACAGAGCGCAGCUAGGCCGCGAGGCGGAGCGAAUCGACGAAAAGCCGGUCUCAGUACGGAUUGGAGUCUGAAACCCGACUCCAUGAAGUUGGAAUCGCUAGUAAUCGCGCAUCAGCAUGGCGCGGUGAAUACGUUCCCGGGCCUU
rnacentral:rRNA from 1 species